rnacentral:tRNA from 1 species
UCGAGCACUACUACAUGCAGCCGGAGGAGACCGCCUCCUACCAGGAGGUGCUCGGCGACCUCGAGCUCGACGACAUCGAGUUCGAAGACUCGAUGGACGAC